rnacentral:lncRNA from 1 species
AGUUAUCAUCUUGCCUGUCACAAAGGCCUGGGAAACCUCACACAGUCAUUCACUCUUCAGAAAGCACCAUUUUUAGCAUCUACAGUACCGAACCAUGUGCAUAGCCCAGCCACCGGCUUGUUUAUAUAGAAGUGAUCAAGAAAGUGGCAGAAUUUUGCAAUGCAGAGGCUGUGUCAGAAUGCCAAAAUAUCAAGAUCAAAACACAGGGGAAAAACAUACAGAACCAAACAAACUAACACAGGCCUUGAAGAAGAAGCACUACACAUACAAAGAGGCGCUGCACAGAGUUGAAGAUGUUCACAACAGGAGCCCGUGCUAUCAGGAGGAAGGAGACAGUGACUCCAUCUGUCUGCUCCGUUUCGUAAUCAUCUAAUAUAUCUGGACAGGUUCAGACUAAGUUGUGAAAUUUUCAGAUCAUGCAGCCAAGAAAAGCCUGGUAGAAAUUGUGUGGUUAGUUAUUUGCAUGACCUGUAAAAAGUUUUUUUGUUUUUUUUUUUUUUUAAGUUAAAUGAAUACAUUAAUUCAGGAAGUACACUUUAAAUUGACCAAACGUGAGAUUAAAGACAUUUACAAUGUUACAAAUAAUUAUAUUUAAAUAAAUGCGUAUUCAACAUUGAUAAUAAUAAAUGCUUCUUGAGCAGCAAAUCAGCAUAUUAAAAUGAUAAUGAUGCUGAAAAUACAGCUUUGCAUCACAGGAAUAAAUUACAUCUCAAAGAGAAGUAAGAUAGAAAUAGUUAUUUGAAAUUGUAACAGCAUUUCACAACAUUACUGUUUUCAUGCAUUUUUGAUCAAAUAAAUGCAGGCUUUGUGAGCACGAGACUUCUAUCAAAAACAUCCUACCGCCCCUGAACUUUUGAAUGUUAGUGUAGGUUUUUCAUUGUAAAGAACUGUUUAAAUUUUCCUUUUACUGGCUGUAUAUUGAUGACUCUCCUUCUCUUCAGUUCAGAUGUGCUGCUUAUUUUUAAAGGCAGACUGUGAACUUAGUUUGGCUUUUCUGUGCUUUUGUGGGUCAUGUCGACCCAUUCUAGACACUAACACACAUUUAUUGUCAACGUUUAGCCUGAAACUUCAUGUCAUCCUCCGCACACGUGUGAUUUAAAAUGCUUUAACUAUCGCCAUGUUUCUCAAAUACUCUGAAAACUGAUUUUAGAGCUUUAAUUUGUCACGUUGGAUCUUCAGUCUGGUGACUUUCUGACAUAUAAAUGGCCGGCAAAGCAGGACAUCCUAGAAGUUUAAUCAAUACAUAGAAUGGCAGUUCAUUUCGAGCCACUUUAAUCACUAUUCUCAGAAGAGUUCAGCUCAAGAACACCACAGAUCUUCCCCAGUCUAUCGUACCAACGUAUAUUCUGAGAAGCAAUUGCUAUACAAGCUUAGUUUAACAUACACAUCCACUACAAUUAUAUUAAAGCUCACUGACAUCACAUAAAAUCAGAAAGGCUGCAGGUCAAAUGGCUGUUGUCGGCAAAGUUCACUGGCUUAACCGUUUUACAAAUCUAAUAGCAGCGCAGAUAACUUCCUUUAACCAACCAACCAGAUAGCCAGAAGGGCUGUGACAGCACCAUAUAGAUAGUGUGAAUCACAGAUGCCCUGUAUUUCACCCUCAGCAGGAAGUGAGGGGUUCCAUGAAGUAAGUAUGCAAUUAUCCAGCCAGGAUGAAAUAACCUUUCAUUAUGGCCAGCAGCUGCAGAAGUGCUGCAGUGAACAGGUCUUCAUAAGUUCAAGUGCUUCUGAACAUGACCGCUUUGUUAAAAUGGGAUGCCCUCAUUGGUGUGACAUCAUAUAGGUGGGCGGGGCAGGCAUCAAACAGGAAGUUGACCGUGAAAUACAUAAACUGAGGAAAAUGACAUAAACUUUUGCUAGUUUUCAUAAUG